GGAUCUUCCGUGGGCUUUGUCUUCCUUCCUAUAUCUACUCAGGUCUUUCAUUCAGCUAUUUAGCACCUACGUUGCUGUCAGGCAUAGCGCUAGGUGAAGGGCAUACAAAAAAGUGCAGUCUCUGCCUUCAAAAGAGCUCCCAACAGCAAAGUUUGUAAAUAACUACUCCACAAUGUGGUAAGCUAUUUUUGAAAGCAGGUGAGAGGAAAGAGUGAGUCAGACUUCCACGCAGUGACUGAGUCUUAAAAAGGAUGAGGAAAAAGAGCAGGCCAUUUCAGCAGAAAGGAAGGCGUGAUGCACAGGGACAAUGUGUCUGGAGCUGUUUGGGGCCAGUGAAGAGCGUGGCGUGAGAAGCACUCUUGCGGGUGGAAGCUGGGGAGUAGCGGGUAGAGCGAAAGCCCAGGCCUCGGUGGAGCACGGUGGCUUCGCCCCCACGGCCUCCCCGGGGCCGCGGCUCAGAGCCGGCUUCUGACCAGCCGGUCUCCGCUCCAAACCGAGAAACGCGAGGCGUGGCAGCCCGGCCGGGGCCGGGAAACCCUCCCUCCCGAUCCCCGCGUCCCAGACCUGGCCCGGCGGGCUGUCCACACCUUGCCAAGCAGCCGUUUCACACUCUCGCAGUCGAACUCCAUCUCUGGCCAGAGCCCCGAGCAAGGUGGCAGGACCCCAGCCCCUGAACCUUCUUCCGCCACCGCUCCAAGACGGAAGCCGCGGAGGACCAACCCGGCCCAGCAGUCCGAGGCCCGCCCCUUCCCAGACGAAAUUCCAGCCGCGUGACGCCGCAGGCUCAGCUGGGACUCCGCAGAAGCGCAUCCUGGGUGGACGCAGAGCAGGCAGCCUCCAACUCUAAAGUGGAAACAGAAGUGGCCCAUUCGUGAGAGCAAGGCACGACGGAGGAGCCGGGCUUUGGAGGAAGAUCUGUCAUUGAACGAUGUGGAAGGGAUUUAAAUAUCCCCCAGGAGGGACCCCUGUGGAAGUAAGCAAGGAUGAUCCUGGUGAAGUAAUGCAGCUCUGAAGCUCACCUGACUAGCUGUACAGUUCCUGUUGUUGGUUUCUCAUAAAGUAAUUGCACAUUAUUUUGUCAUAUUUUAUGUCCAAUUCCGCACUUUUUAAGAUGAACAGACUUGGUAUUAGCUUAUAACAGGAAAGCGGAGGGUAAGGAGUUAGUCUAGGUAGGUGGGAGAUGAUUGGGUCCCUUCUGUUUCUAAGGCAAUUUUGUGUCCCUUACUCAGUUUCCUUAAGGAUAGAAAUUCUCUAGAGCUCUUUAGACCCAUUUUCCAAAUAAUAUUCUCUUAAGUACAGGGUCCAGACAUGAAAAAAUGUUAACAGAGAAAAGGGAUAGAGUUUAUAGUAACUUUAAGCCUGUUCUUUUUAGGCAUUUCUCCAUAGCCUCUUGUUAUUACGAAGAACACAGUUUACCCCAUGUGGGGAAAGGAACUCACUUUAAAAUUGAGGGCAGAUACUAUAAUAUGCAUAUUUUAAUCCUUACAGUAGCCUUCUGAAACUCAGUAUUAAUUUUGCAGUGUGGCAUAAAUUGAGGCUUAAGUAUCUUGCGCACCCACACACACAGCUCUGGGUUGCAGUCAAGAUUAAGACCCAGGCUUUGUCCAGUACAUGCUUUUUAUGUGCUAAGGCAAGUCAAAUGAGAGACUCAGAUAUCUGAGAUUUUACUGCCUAAAUGUCUCCAUCACCUGAAAAGCCAAGAAACUGCCUGAUGAUUCUUUAGAGGCAGUAUAUGUAGAAACGAAAGCUAAUGGCUCAGCCCUCAAAAUGAGAACUAGGUUAUUAAUAAAUUUAGGUUUAGGAGCCCUAGAAUUUUUUUGUGGUGCUGGGGAUUGAACACAGGGCCUCACAUAUGGUAGACCAGCAUUUUACCACUGAGCUACACCCCCCCAGCCCUGAACCCAAGGAUCUUUAUAAGCCCUCUGAAGGUGGUUUGAGGGUUUCAGUUAACACACAGGGAGUGGGAGCACAAGUUAGGGAUGAUAGUUCCAUUGUAGAGAAAUGCAUCCUUUCCAGCAAAGCAGAUCUUUUGGUUAUAUGUUAUGGUUUGGAUGUGAGAUGUCCCCAAAAUGUUCAUGUGGCAAAUGCAGGAAUGCUCAGAGGCAAAAUGAUUAUAGAUUAUGAAAGCUGCAACCUAAUCAGUGGAUUAAUCCACUUAAUGGUUUAAUUUGAAUGGAUUACUAGGUUAACUAACUGUAGGCAGGUGGGAUGUGGCUAGAGGAAGUAGGUCAUUGGGGUGUGCCUUUGGGGAUUACGUAUCUUGUCCCUGGCUCCUCACUGUCUCUUUUCUUCUGGGCUGCUCUGAGCUUAGCAGCUUUUCUCUGCCAACAUUUUUGUCAUGAUACUCUGCCUCACUGUGGGCCCAGAACAAUGGAGUCAGCUUACCAUGGACUGAGACUUCUGAAACUGUGAGCUCAAAAUAAAUUUUUCCUCCUCUAAGUUGCUCUAGUCAGAUAUUUUGGUCACAGUGACAAAAAGGUAACACACAAGGUUAUUCGGUACACAUUUACUAAACUAUUUUAAGUGGCUUUUCACAAUGAAUGGAUCAUCCUUUUUUGGGAAAAGAAAAUGAAUUCAAAAUUCAUAAACACAACUACUAUAAUUUCUGAAUGUAUUAUUCUAGCCACUUUACAGCUGUCUUAACUUGGGUGUCUGAGAGCACAACAGUACUUAGGCUGGUAGAAGAGAGGUAUCAGUGGUAGGGGCUGAAGAGACAUGAAAGUAUGGUGGAGAACAAGCUAAGAUAGGGUGUUCAGGAGACAAACCCAACCCCCAAAGCUUCAAAAGUCUACUGAGAUUUCUAGCUCGAAAAAUGUUUAAUAUGAUGAGAAAAGGAAUAGCUCAAAGUUUUGAUCAAUAAAUGCAAAUCACUAAAAAUAACAAUAAAAUAUCUUUAAUGCCUACAAUUUCUUGUAUACAUAAAUUGCAAAACAUUCACCUGUAUAUGCAAAAGUAUUUUCUCUUGCAGGUCAACAGCACCAGAAAACAAGCUAAGCCUAUGUAAAGGGUUUUUUUUUUGUUUUGUUUUUGUUUUUUAAACUUGAUUUGUCCAUUAUGUAAAAGACAUGAUGGAUUUAACAACUUCAAAGAAAUCUAUAUUCCACUCUUAAUCAUACACUAAACACCUGAAUAUUUAUUUUAUCACAUCCACUCACAAAAUAAAUAGUAGUCUAAUAUAUUCGGCACACUGAAAAUAAAACAACCAGUCUCUCUUCAUAUAUUUAUUCUCUUUCCAAAAAUGUUUUGGUCUCCUGCUAUAUCUCAGAAAUGUACUAAUAGCUGCUUUAGUUACAAAAUACAAAAUAACAAUUUAUCUCUUGGAGAAAAUCUUGGGGAUUACCAUUAAAAAAUGAAAAUUUGAGUUCCCAUAGACUUUCUUUUUGUUAACAGUCUUUGAACUUUCUCAUGGCACACAUGUAAGGCUGCCUGUGACAUGUGGUACCCUGGCCUCCAAAUGGACAUAAUUGCAUUUAUAGUUUAGAGAAAAUACAAAGACAAGUUCUGAAAGUAGCCUUUAAAGAAAGUGCCCUUUGCUUUGACAUAGAAACAUCAAAAGCAAGUUGGACUGUGCAAUCAGAGCCACAAGUUUUAUGAAAACUACUUUCCUUUCACAUCUUUUGUUAGAGAAUGCCACACCCAUGAUCAUGUAACAUUAUUAUAAUUGUGAAAUAACAUUAUUACAUUCGUGAAUUAACAUUACCCAAUAAAAGGCACAUCUUCAAAUAUUGAAUUAAGAAAAUCUAAAAAUCAAAACAGUAGAGAAUACAUUAAAAAUCAAGCACUUAAUUUGUAAACUUUGAGAAAAUAACAGCCUCUUCCAGUUUCUUCAAAGACUUGUAAGCUUUUUGUGGUCAGGAAGUGUAGAACAAAUUGGAAGACAGAACUUGGAAACAAGGCCAACAUUAAUUUAAAGGAUUUAUAAGAUCCUUUCUUCUUCUUCUUUUUAAAAAUGAGCCAGAAGUAUUCUUUUAUAAUGUUGAUACAGGUCAGCAUUUAUAAGAAAAUGCACUCAGAAGUGAUAGAUGUUACAACCUGACUCUUCCUACUAAAUCUAGCACUAUGAUUCCUUUCUGUACAAAUAAGUGCACCACAUCAUUAAGUGCUAGUAAAUUUUAAGCCACCAGAACUCUUUCAACUAUGAUAAGUACUUGAUUGUAAUUACAAAUUUCAGUCUGAAUAUUGGGAAAAAAAUCUAAGAAAAAACUUUUUUGGGGGGGCACAUGGAAGAGAAAAGAAUGUUCUAAACCUAUUUUAUUAAAUGGAACAUCCCACUACCCUUACUUAAAUCAAAUUCACUGAAAGUAUUUGAGAUGGGUGAGAGGAAGUGAUUGGAUUUUCUGCUACUAGUGUAACAUCUAUGUGAAGAGUUAUAGUGUUACUCCUAAUGAUGAAAACAUAUUUCACAGGAUUCCAACUUUAAAAUUAAAUCCUUAUACUUUCAAAAUUUGAAACUCAAUUCAAAUUGAAUUAAGUUUUAAAGGACUUGGUCAUAUGGUCCCAUUAAUGAAAACUAACAAUGGUAAUCUAUAAUACCUGAACUUAAAGAAUAAAGAUUUCGUGGAUAAAAAGGAAUAUAUGAAAAUGUCUGGGCAUGCCAAAGAGUAAGGAUUCUUUGUAGGGCAACCCCCCUUAUACUUCCUAUCCCCCACUGUCCAAUGGCUUAACCCAGAACAUUUAUUGUCCUACAAGCUUAUUUCUGACUGCCUCCAAUCCUCCAUAUUUGGAGUCAAGGACAAAUAAAUGCUCUAUAACAUCAUGUCUCAUUUUCUGUUGCUGACUGCCCUUGAGACUUGGCUUCCUUUCAGCCAGAUCCCAGGUCAGCCUGACGGGAAUUGCUGGAACUUGAGGCUUAAGUGAUAUAAUGUCUAUAGAUAUGACUUAAGAAUGAAAAUGAAGAAAGUUUCAAGCCAAAUAAAAUACCAAUAACAGGAAACACCCUUUUCUACCUGGGCUGGG